UACGUAGGGUGCAAGCGUUGUCCGGAAUUAUUGGGCGUAAAGAGCUCGUAGGUGGUUUGUCGCGUUGUCCGUGAAAACUCACAGCUCAACUGUGGGCGUGCGGGCGAUACGGGCAGACGUGGAGUACUGCAGGGGAGACUGGAAUUCCUGGUGUAGCGGUGGAAUGCGCAGAUAUCAGGAGAAACACCGGUGGCGAAGGCGGGUCUCUGGGCCGAUACUGACGCUGAGGAGCGAAAGCAUGGGUAGCGAACAGG
rnacentral:rRNA from 1 species